rnacentral:tRNA from 1 species
AAGGGCUUAGCUUAAUUAAAGUAUCUGCUUUGCAUGCAGGUGAUGUAGGUUGGAGGCUUACAGUCCUUA